UGCGUAGGGUGCAAGCGUUAAUCGGAAUUACUGGGCGUAAAGCGUGCGCAGGCGGUUUUGUAAGUCUGUCGUGAAAUCCCCGGGCUCAACCUGGGAAUGGCGAUGGAGACUGCAAGGCUAGAAUCUGGCAGAGGGGGGUAGAAUUCCACGUGUAGCAGUGAAAUGCGUAGAGAUGUGGAGGAACACCGGUGGCGAAGGCGGCUCACUGGCUCGUAACUGACGCUCAUGCACGACAGCGUGGGGAUCAAACAGG
rnacentral:rRNA from 1 species